UACAGAGGUCUCAAGCGUUGUUCGGAUUCAUUGGGCGUAAAGGGUGCGUAGGUGGCGCCGUAAGUCAGGUGUGAAAUCCCGGGGCUCAACCCCGGAACUGCAUUCGAUACUGCCUGGCUAGAGUACUGGAGAGGAGAUCGGAAUUUACGGUGUAGCAGUGAAAUGCGUAGAUAUCGUAAGGAAGACCAGUGGCGAAGGCGGAUCUCUGGACAGUUACUGACACUGAGGCACGAAGGCCAGGGGAGCAAACGGG
rnacentral:rRNA from 1 species